rnacentral:piRNA from 1 species
UAUUCGUCAGCUUUUUGAAAU